rnacentral:lncRNA from 1 species
CUUGUUUCCAUGGAGUGAUCAGAAGGGAUUAGAAGGAACACGGCUGGUACUUAUCUUCAAGCUCAAGAACAACCAGGGGAGGGGGCUGAAGGAGCCCAGGGCGCAGUUGACAGACAAUGCCAGAAGGAUGGGGCAUGGUGCCCAGAGGAGGGGAAGCGGCUGAGCCCCUGCAGCGAUGAAGCAAGGAGGGAGGGGAGAGCCAUGCUCCUCUUGAGAAGAGCUCAGGGAGCAAGAGAAAGACCCCAGCAGCGUCCGCCGCUCCCCAAACCCCACGGCAGGUAGCCUUCGGUACUGUAGCCACCUGCUUUCCAAUCUUUCAGCCCGGAGGCCUGGGUUCGUUAGUGUGUGUUCCUCCCACGAGUAUUUAUUGACUACCUGUCUGAGCCCAAGAGUCCAGCCUAGUGAUGACGGAAGUUCAUAAAAAUAACCCUGACGCCUGUGGAGUUCAGGAAUCAGGAGGCAGGAAGCCAUUUUAGAAGGAUUUCCUUCAGAUGCGGCAUUUAAAAUUUUGUUCUUCAGAUCUGAAGUAGUAUCUCCCUGACUCUGUCGGAACAUGAAACGGCUCUGUUAUUAACAGUCACCGCCACCCUUUCCUUCCCUGGGAGGGCCGCACUGGGGUGUUGCCUGCCUCAUUCGGGAGAGGUCAGAGGUCAGGAGCACCCUAAGGGAAGGGCACCACCAUCGGCAGCCAUCGUGGCCCCCACAGCAGGGGCUGGAGGUCAAAGGCUCACAAAGCAGCUGGCCCCCGUAGCUUCCACAAUAGCAUGUGUACCUCUCUGUCCCUAAGCAUCCACAUGGCUCUGGAAUCGUCUUUAGGUGACCUUCCUCAUUGGAAGGCACAGGUCAUGCAUUUUGGUGUGGUAAGCGCUCCAGGAAUGGCUACAUGAAUGACCGAGUCAGUGAUGCUAGAGAGCAGGGUGGAGAGCUGGGCUGCAGCGCUGCCCGUGGGCCCAGCCCAGCUGAGGACCACAUGGGCACAGAGGCCCCCAAAAGGGAAGGGAGGCCCAAGUGCAGCCUGUCGGGGAGCAUGGCCCCUUACAUCUGCUUCCUUGCACACGGGGUUGGGAUGGAGAAAUGGCCAUCACCAUCCAGUCACAUGCCAGGAACCCUAUCUCCCCGGAGUGGGUGACCUCCACGGGCAGCUCCUCUCCGUGAGCAGCAGCCUCUCCUCCCUCGGAAGCUUCAGCCACUGCAGGCCCUGUUGGUCACCCACUUGCAUUCCCUGAGCCCUUUCCCGCUGACUCACUGCAGUCCCUGCCCCGCCAAGCUUGCCGCCAGCAGCCCAGCGGAGGCCAAGGGGAGGGACGGGGAGGCCGAGGAGACUGCAUCAGGAUCCAGGAAUGCUCUGCUGGGUGGGAGGGGGUCUACUAACUUCCCAGUUUCCGAUGCUCUGAAGGGACGACCAAGAAGUGAAUUGUCUGGGGACCCAAGUGGAUUCCUCUGUCCUUGACUCAGUCACAGCCAGACGUUCACCAACCCCCAUUUCAGAGAACUAGGCUCCCCAGCCCCCAGCCGUUCAUGGCCUGCCGUGUUAGUGUGCGUUCCAUGACAAUUGCCUGUGACCCUGUGUGGCUGUGUGCGGUUGCCUGUGACUGUGUUCUCGUGUGCCGACAAGCGCGAUUGAACAUGACUGUGGUUGUCUAGAGUGUGUGGUUGUGUGGUGUGAGUCUGCGUGUGACCGUGUGCCAUUCUGAAUUCCUGAGCACAGCUGUGUCCAGUUGUGUGUGAUUACGUGCCGACGAAUGGUUGAGAGCGAAUGUGUGUGGUUAAGCCUCACGGUGCGCAGUGUGUGUGAAUCCGUGGGAUCAUAUGGCAUGGCCCGCUAAUGCACGAUCACCCAUGUUACAUGGGAUCCUACACGGCUGCACGCUGCUGAGGGCCACAGUGUAUGAUGGAGCGUGUCUGUGGGUGGUUGUGUGUGGCUGGGUGGGCUUUGCGUGAUUCUUCAGGACCACGUGUGUGUUCCACAGCACAGGCCCAAGGAGGUUAGGGGUCUGCGGCCCACAGUCCGUGACAGGUGAGGGGUUGCAAUGUGUGUCUCUGUUGUGUGCUUGCUCUUUUUCUAAGUUCUGUGCCUGAGGAGGCUGUAAUGGCUCCCACUUAGGAAAGGAAGCGGAGUUAGGCUGCGGGAUGCUCUUCUGCCUGGGUCGCUGACCAGUUUUAGAGUGUUUUCUUGGAAGUCAGGCUGCACUUCAGGGCGAUGUCAGCCCCGCUGAGCCCUCACAGCAGCUGGCUGCCAGUGCUGAGUCUCAGCAGGGCCCCGGCUCAGGCCCAGGGUGCCUCCCACCCAUGCGGGGACACGGCCAGCUUCUCUCAGCCCUGGCCCUCUGAGCCCACCCUCCCCAUUCCUAAUCUGGGUGCGAAAAUAACGCAGGCCCCAGCUCCCCUUCUUUCCCACUCUGAAGACAAGCGUGUGCCUUUUUAGGGGCUUACCACCAACCCCUUCAGGAAAGCAGAGAGAGCAACAAAAGCAUCCCCCACGAGGGACUGACAAACGUGUCAGAUGCCCAUGAGCUCUUCCAGUGCUGGCCCCUGGACCACUGCCUCCACUUUUCUACCUGAGGAAGUUCACAGGAAGAGGGUUUUCACAGCAUCGAGUCAAAACGGCACUGCACACUGCGGUCAGUUUUUUCGAAAGAAAGGAAGCCAAGAUGGAUCAAAGAAAAGCAGGUUGAGAGAUGACAGCCCAGGGCCUGUGCCGUGAAAGGACCAAGCACAGAGGAACAGGGCUCACCGUGCCACCUGGGAGGAGCACAGCCCUGGCCAGCACCGGCUCCCGUCCCUCUCCAGCUCCUCUGCCCGUGGAGGCCCUCGAGAUAAAUCCAGCCAGCCUCCCUCUCCUGCACAGCCGAGCCCUCACCUGCUCCUGCCUGGACCCAACAACAGUCUCCUGCCUGUUCGCCCACCUGGGUCCAUGGUGUCGAACUCCAGCCUCCAUGCUGGAUUGGCAAGUUACCUUUUUCUAAGCCACAUAGUCGCCAGUGUUCUUUAUGUCUCAGGUGCAUCCCAGAGCUCGAAAUGGAAACACGAAGUUUCUGUAUCUCCUAUGACACUGUGAUUAAAUUGACAAAGUUGCUCUUAAAAAUGUG